rnacentral:tRNA from 1 species
AUUCUUAUUAGUUUAAUGGCAAAACAAGAUUUUCCUAAUCUCCUAAUCUAAGUUCAAGUCUUAGAUAAGAAUUC